rnacentral:lncRNA from 1 species
AUAGGAUUGAUGUUGAUAGUCGAGGGCCAAAGGUCGAGUAUGGGACUGUGAUAACGAGAUUGAGGUUGUACUCCCUGGAAAGAGUACAAUAUCCCUGCCAAUGUGGGGUUCUCUCCUUAGGAGGGCAAAAUGUUGGACUCCAUGCAGCUCACAUGGUGUAGUUUAUGUAGGUUAUAAGAAACUCCCAUGUCCAUAAUGAUCUAAGUACCUUGAGUUACCGAGUCACUCUAAGUCAUAAGUCAAAGAGUUUGACUUGAGUUAAAUUAUUUAUGAGAUUUAUGAAGUC